AAAUCAGAUGAUGAAUUUGGAUAUACAUCUCACGACGGUCGUCUGAGACUCAGUGUCGACGUUGAAACGAUCCAAUGUUUCUGAUGUUU
rfam:Prunus persica cultivar Lovell chromosome G1, whole genome shotgun sequence.